UACGGGGGGGGCAAGCGUUGCUCGGAAUCACUGGGCGUAAAGGGCGCGUAGGCGGGAUGGCAAGUCAGUCGUGAAAUCUCUCGGCUCAACCGAGAAACGUCGGCUGAUACUGCCGUUCUUGAGGGAUGCAGAGGAGACUGGAAUUCCCGGUGUAGCGGUGAAAUGUGUAGAGAUCGGGAGGAACACCGGUGGCGAAGGCGGGUCUCUGGGCAGUAACUGACGCUGAGGAGCGAAAGCGUGGGGAGCGAACAGG
rnacentral:rRNA from 1 species